UACGUAGGGGGGCAAGCGUUUGUCCGGAAUCAUUGGGCGUAAAGCGCGCGUAGGCGGCCCGGUAAGUCCGCUCUGAAAGUCCAGGGCUCAACCCUGGAAAGCGGGUGGAUACUGCCGGGCUAGAAUCCGGAAGAGGCGAGUGGAAUUCCUGGUGUAGCGGUGGAAUGCGCAGAUAUCAGGGAGGAACACCAAAUAGCGAAAGGCAGCUCGCUGGGACGGU
rnacentral:rRNA from 1 species